ACAGUCAAGCAUUCCAGAAGAUGAGUUCAAACUACAUUUAGUAAGAUAGUGCAACUGUUGCAGUGUUUAAAAUCUCAGAAAAUUUCUGAAAGGAAGUCAAAAGAUGCAAUGACCUUAGCAACAUAGAUUGUCAAUAUUAAUUUCCCAAAGUGAUCUUUUAAUAUAUCCAGUUCAUGUCCCAACAAUACAUUUCAUUCCUUUCAUGUACAGGGACUAAAUAGUCUCAUUAUUUCUUUCUUUUCCUUCAUCUAGCCAAUUGUCCCUAUGUUUACACAAAAUACUAGAAAAGCAUAUGUAACAUAUGGAAAUAUAAGGCAAUAAAGGCUUUACGCGAAAAACACCAGGAAAUCUCAGGAAACAUUUGCAUGCUCUUAGGCAAUGCUUUGAGACUCAUAACAAAGAAAAACAGUGAUAUAACAACAAUUAUCUGUGUACAAAAUAUAUAUAUGUUUAGAUAUUAUAUGUGUAGUUUUCUCUGAGGCAUUUUGUUAAAAUAAAUGAAGGGGGAAGAUUGAGAUGGGAAAGAAUAUUGGUUAAUUUCAAUGUGUUUAAAUUCCCAACAUCAGAAUAAAUUUCAUUUGAAAAUAUCAAAGCAUUAUAUGAUGAUCAUUCCACCCUCUUAUGAAUUAUGUUCGAAUAAUCCUUGUCACGUCACACUUGUUGAAGAAGUUAGUUGAAGAGAUCACUAUUGGCCAGGGGACACCCAGUUGGGGGCACCUUCAUGUUCCUGCUCUCAAAUGCAGGUUUGCUAACCUCCAAUCCAGUGUCCUAACCAUGAUAACCAGUAUUUUCCAAGAAAUCCCAGUGAACUGCAAGUGACUUGAUGAGAUCUACUGUUAUUCCGAUUUUCAAAAAGGAAGAAAAGGAAAAUACAAGAAAUAUAAACCAGUCACUCUGACUUCCAUACUCAGGAAUUUUUAGACUACAUACUAUAUUGUAAUCAUGAAGAGAUUUAUCAUUAAAAAUAACUACAAGAAA